rnacentral:rRNA from 1 species
UAGGGAAUCUUCGGCAAUGGGGGGAACCCUGACCGAGCAACGCCGCGUGAGUGAAGAAGGUUUUCGGAUCGUAAAGCUCUGUUGUUAAGGAAGAACGAGUGUGAGAAUGGAAAGUUCAUACUGUGACGGUACUUAACCAGAAAGGGACGGCUAACUACGUGCCAGCAGCCGCGGUAAUACGUAGGUCCCGAGCGUUGUCCGGAUUUAUUGGGCGUAAAGCGAGCGCAGGCGGUUAGAUAAGUCUGAAGUUAAAGGCAGUGGCUCAACCAUUGUAGGCUUUGGAAACUGUUUAACUUGAGUGCAGAAGGGGAGAGUGGAAUUCCAUGUGCAGCGGUGAAAUGCGUAGAUAUAUGGAGGAACACCGGUGGCGAAAGCGGCUCUCUGGUCUGUAACUGACGCUGAGGCUCGAAAGCGUGGGGAGCGAACAGG